rnacentral:rRNA from 1 species
AUACGGAGGGUGCAAGCGUUGUUCGGAAUUACUGGGCGUAAAGCGCGCGUAGGCGGUCUGUUAUGUCAGAUGUGAAAGUCCUCGGCUCAACCGGGGAAGUGCAUUUGAAACUGGCAGACUUGAGUACUGGAGGGGGUGGUGGAAUUCCCGGUGUAGAGGUGAAAUUCGUAGAUAUCGGGAGGGAUACCGGUGGCGAAGGCGACCACCUGGCCAGAUACUGACGCUGAGGUGCGAAAGCGUGGGGAGCAAACAGGAUUAGAAACCCCGGUAGUCC